GAGCUCCCGCUGCGGACCGGCACCAGCAGCGGCGGCCAAUCCAGUCAUCCGCUAAAGAGCUGCCCCUGGAGGGGCCUGCCGCUCCUCCACCUUCCGCCGCGGCGGUAGCGCGCCGUGCCGUUGACCCUUCUUCCCCUAGUCCUCCCCUGCGCGCACCCUUCGUUGGCGGUCAAGGAGGCGCCCCAUAGCCCCAGGGGCCGGCACUCUUGGUGCGUGCGCCGAACCCUUCGCCCUCUUCCUGAGCUACGGGCCGUCGCCUCCUCUGAGCUGACCCCCUUCCCCUCGCCUCGCCUCGUCCCCUCCUUCUGCCCGCUCGCCUAGAGGCCGCGGCCAGCGGUUGUGCACCGGGCGGUCGGCGCCUCUGCACCGCGCAGCGUGGACGGUCGCGUGCGGCGUCGCUUGGGCUGGGUGUCGCUUGGGCAGGUCUUGGCCGUGUGGCGUGGCGUGCGGUCGAGUGGUCGGGUCGGAAAGGAGAUUAGGAGAGGGGAUUUAUUAGGGCGGCAUGGCGAGACGGUACCGGCGGCGGUGUGAGGCGAGGCGGGAGGAGAGGAGGAGGACGCGGGAGGCGGCGGAGAGGAGGCGGCGCGGCGCGCGGGGGGCGGAGCGGGUCGGGUUCCCCAAGCGGCCCCGAGCGGCCAGGAUGGGCCGGCGCAAGCGGCGGUACAGCUGCAGCAGCCCCCGGUUCCUCCGCGGCCGGUUGUUGGGCCCGGACGUCCGGCUCCGGCUGGGCCGGUGGUUCCCGAUGUAGUACGUCGUCUGAUACAAGGCGCACUUCCUGGGUUUUCACUCGGAACUGAAGAUGAGGGCACACUACCCGUACAGCAACGACUUUUCCAACCUAAAAGGACUCUACUUUAAGUCAAACAUAAAAGAACCAAUGCUCCUGAACAGACGUCGGGGGCGACUAGGACAGGUCGCCUGACCUACCUGAAAACCCGUUUUCCGAUGCUAGCUCGAGUGAGUGUUGACCCCGUGUCUUUCACUAGGACUUAAGUUUCCCAUGGUAUUACCCUUGAGUCUGGGAGCACCCAAGCCGGUAUAUCCCCAUUGACACCUACUACAGAUGUUCCGUACGCUCGCAAAGCUUUCAGAACCCCAUCUCAAACACUUCUUUGGUCUACUACCCUUUUACUUUCCGUAGCGUAAGUAGUUCCUAGGACUACCAAUGACCUAACUUUAUAAACUGGACUUCUCUUAGCCCCUCCACUGACGACGCCGUAGUACUACUUCACAACUUUGAGGUUACGGCCAUUUUACCGAAGCGCGGAAGUCUUUACUAUACUUGAGUCAAUAUGCCUGGUACGAAUGUAAGAACGUGGCGAUCAAUGUCGCAGUACUCGUUUCUAUAGUACACUGGCUACAAACUCGUAUCUAGACCGCAACAUUGGUAAGUCAUUACAUUCGACGUCCAACCUGUAAAGCCGUAUUUAUUUAAUCCCCCGUCUGACAAGCAGACCGCUGACCUUAAAUAAUUUUCAAAGUCAGUGCAGGUGGGGGCAAAGUCUGAUUCUCGUAGAGGUUGUCCGCAGGUUUUUCUCGAGGCG
rnacentral:rRNA from 1 species